rnacentral:rRNA from 1 species
GAGUUUGAUCAUGGCUCAGAACGAACGCUGGCGGCAGGCCUAACACAGCAAGUCGAGCGAUCCCUUCGGGGAUAGCGGCGGACGGGUGAGUAACGCGUGGGAACGUGCCCUUCAGUGCGGGAUAGCCCCGGGAAACUGGGAUUAAUACCGCAUGCGCCCUUCGGGGGAAAGAUUUAUCGCUGAAGGAUCGGCCCGCGUUGGAUUAGGUAGUUGGUGGGGUAAUGGCCUACCAAGCCGACGAUCCAUAGCUGGUUUGAGAGGAUGAUCAGCCACACUGGGACUGAGACACGGCCCAGACUCCUACGGGAGGCAGCAGUGGGGAAUCAUAGACAAUGGGGGAAACCCUGAUCUUGCCAUGCCGCGUGAGCGAUGAAGGCCUUAGGGUUGUAAAGCUCUUUCACUCGUGAAGAUAAUGACGGUAGCGGGAGAAGAAGCCCCGGCUAACUCCGUGCCAGCAGCCGCGGUAAUAC